rnacentral:rRNA from 1 species
UACGUAGGGACCGAGCGUUGUCCGGAAUCAUUGGGCGUAAAGAGCGUGUAGGCGGCCACUUAAGUCCUGCGUGAAAUCUUGCGGCUCAACCGCAAGCGGUCGUGGGAAACUGGGUGGCUAGAGUCCGGUAGGGGAGUGUGGAACUCCUGGUGUAGCGGUGAAAUGCGCAGAUAUCAGGAAGAACACCAGCGGCGAAGGCGGCACUCUGGGCCGGUACUGACGCUGAGGAGCGAAAGCGUGGGGAGCGAACAGG